rnacentral:tRNA from 1 species
UGUAGUGUGGCAUAGUGGUUUGAGUGUUGGACUAUGAUUCUGUAUACCAGGGAUCAAUUCCCAGCUUGGCCA